ACACACAGAGCAACUCCAGCACGAAAACAAAACCCUGCAUUAAAAAACAACUGUAAACAGCGACGGUGUGCAUUGCUCUUCACGGAACUCUCUGUUCUUCAUAAUUUUAAUAUGACAGCCAGACCUGUACCGUGGGUGAAUGAAGAGGUCGAGACUUUUCUGUCUAUGGUGGCGGACCAAAGAAUACAGAGGGAGCUGGACGGAGAAUGUUUAUCAGGAGGUCUCUGAGCGGAUGGCCGCUCACAUAUACAGUAGACUGUAUAUAAAGAGGCUAGAAGCAGUGUAGGGAGAAGCUGAAAAAGCUCAAAAGUGACUAUCGGUCCACCAAGGACCACAACGGCCGGCGUGGGUCAACCAGGAGGUGUUAAUGGUGUUUAAUGGAAGCUAUUUAAUGGCACGGCACCGCCAGCAACAGGAGGGAGACUCAGCCGCUGCAUGUUGGAGACGUUCGAAGACGAAUCCCUUUCCACAUGCGAAGCCUACUCCACCUCCGUCGCGGAGCCCCCAGCUCCCCUGCCUCCUCUCCACCAGCACCAGCGGCUCCUCUGCAGCACCAGCUUCGACACCAGUACCAGCUCGGACACCGACGCUGUCAACAUCAAUGUCUUAUCACCGGCAAGAUGAAAAGGGGCCACAGAAAAUUGGACCUUCCUAGCGUACUUGUGGAAAUGCAGGCUGAGGAGGAGCGGAGUCAUGCCCAGCAUGACGAGAACAUCCAGUUGCUCCUCAGCGAGGCAAGAGAGAAUGAAGCGGCCUUGCCCAGAAUGCUGCCUUCAACCAGUCAUUCCUGGGUGUGCUGGGGCAGCUGGUGCAGGUAGUCCUGGGUGUGCUGGGGGAACUGGGGUAGCUGGGUAGGCAGUGGGCAGCCGACAAGUGUGAGCGAGUCCACCUCCCAUAGACUUGAGAUUUACAGGUGCUGGUCAUAUAAUUAGAAUGUCAUGAAAAAGCUUGUCUUUUGGACAACUGUCAGGUCAGCAGUCUUCCCCAUGAUUGUGUAGCCUACAGAACUAGACUGAGAGACCAUUUAAAGGCCUUUGCAGGUGUUUUGAGUAGUGAUGGUCCUCUGAUACCCGAGGCUUCGACACAUGCUCUGUAGCUCAUGAAGCAAACGUAUUGAGCCACUGUGCCGAGGCGUGGUUUGGUCACGUGACUCGUGACGUUUGAAUCACUUCAGUGACGUUUGAAGCACUCAGCUGCUUCGAAUCACCUGAUUGGUUCGGUUUGUUAUGUGAAUCACUCAGCGGGAUUGAGUGUUCCGGGAUAGGAGAUCCCUAUUUAGUGUUCAUUUGAAUUGUUUUUUGCAGAAUAGAUUGGUUUUUUGCUGUUGUUUUCGCUUUGAGAGUUAGUCGUAUGUCGGAUUUCGUAUUUCGUAGAGAAUAGAUAGAUAGAUAGAUAGAUAGAUAGAUAGAUAGAUAUUCCCAACUCACCACCCCCAUGACACAACACCUGGCACAGAACCUUGUCAGGUGCUUAGCUGACAGACUACAAACCAAAGAAAAGAACAGUUCACUGGCUGUUGCUACACUUGUGGCUCUGCAGUUCAAAACUUUUGGAUUCACCAGUCAGAGUGGCAGCCAGUGUGAAAGAACGUUUAAUAACAGAAUGCACAACAAUUAACAUAAAGAAUGCCAAGCAGCAGUGAUCUACAUCACAAGCACCACCACAGCCUCGUCCUCCACCACCAGCAGCACCUUCCACAGAUAUUUUUUUUCUCUUCUGAAUAGGGAAUGACUGACAUUUCUGGUGAUGAUGAUCUUCAAUAUUUUUCAGUUCAACCGUGGAGCCUAUUGGACGAAGACACAAGUAGAGCCUGGCAAAUGCAAAAAGCCACAGCGAAUGCAAUUGUAGAAAGAACGGCAGACCCACUGGUUUACUGGGCAACCCACAAAACUGUUUACCCAAACUUGUACAAUGGAGCCAAACAUUUCCUGUGUACCUCAGCCUCAUCUGUGCCGUGUGAACAGGUUAGAAAAAAAAUUCUAAGGCUGGGGAGAUAGUGAGUAAAAGAAGGAACUGCUUGAGUCCCAAAACUGUUGAUAAAUUAUUUCUCAAUAAAAACUCAUAACCAGUUACGUAAGCACACCCUCUUUACUGACCUCUUUACCAAUAAACCCCCAGACAUACUUUGCCAAAAUGCCUAAUAAUCCAUAAAAUCUUUAUUUGCACCAGCCCCAUGUGAAAAUGACAUCAUUUGUAGAGCAUCUCAUGAAUGUAGCAGCACCGUUUAAAUGUUUCAUAACACAGAAUAUAAGUGAAGAGUAUAUAGGGGUUACAGACAAACAUGGCAAAUAAGAAACGUGCUCUUCAAUAGUUUUUGUCAUUAUUAUUACUAGUAAUAUUAUUUUUGGGUCCACUACAACCCAUACAAUCAUCUAGUGUAGUCAAACAGGAAUAUGUGCAUGGCGAAUCAAAUACAAAACAAUCCAUGAACCAACGACCACGUCUUGAUUGCACUUCAGUUUAUUGACCACUAGAUGUCCUACUCGAGCACUGUGUGUCAUUGAGGCCUCGAGUAAUGAACCAUGUUUUGAAUGACGUGUCGAAGCUUCAACAAAGCCUCGAUCAGCCAUCACUAGUUUUGAGUUAAUUAGCUGAUUAGAUGUGUCUUCAAUAUUGAACCUUUCCACAAUAUUCUAAUUUUCUGAGAUACCAAAUUUGGGAUUUUUGUUAGUAUUCAGGUAUAAUCAUCAAAGAGAAAUAAACAUUUGAAAUAUAUCAGUCUCUGUGUAAUGAAUGAGUAUAAUAUACAAGUUUCACUUUUUGAAUGGAAUUACUGAAAUAAAUCAACUUUUUCAUGAUAUUCUAAUUAUAUGACAAGCACCUGUAAUUGUAUGUAGUUUUACUUUUAGCCCUCCACUGUAGGACAGGCCCACCACAGUUUGUACUUUGCACAUUGUAAAUAGUUUUGAUUUUGCUGCUGACUAAUAAACUAUUUUGUGACUUA